CUCUUUACCUGGACGGGGUUUACGAGUGAUCAAGAAGGCUCGUAGCCUAGGCAAGCGGCCGACGUUGCACGUUGUUGGUGCGUCUGCCUAACAUCUCCCCGUGUGGGAGAGUGUACGUCAUAAUUUGUGUUAGAAGGGGCCUGCGUUCGCGCGGCCCCUGC